rnacentral:tRNA from 1 species
UUUUGCGUGAUUCCGUCAAUUGCGGAUUGAAAAUCCGCGUGUCGCUGGUUCGAUUCCGGCCGCGGCCACCA